rnacentral:rRNA from 1 species
AGGACGAACGCUGGCGGCGUGCUUAACACAUGCAAGUGGAGCGACGAACCAGGGCUUGCCCUGGGGCAGAGCCGCGAACGGGUGAGUAACACGUGGGUUACCUGCCUCGAUGACCGGGACAACCCGAGGAAACUCGGGCUAAUACCGGAUGUGCCCGCAAGGGGAAAGGAAGCUUCGGCCUCCGCAUCGAGAUGGGCCCGCGGCCCAUUAGCUUGUUGGUGAGGUAACGGCUCACCAAGGCUUCGAUGGGUAGCUGGUCUGAGAGGACGAUCAGCCACACUGGGACUGAGACACGGCCCAGACUCCUACGGGAGGCAGCAGUGGGGAAUCUUGCGCAAUGCGCGAAAGCGUGACGCAGCAACGCCGCGUGGGGGAAGAAGGCUUUCGGGUUGUAAACCCCUUUCAGUUGGGACGAAGCUUCGGCAGUUAACAGCUGACUGGAGUGACGGUACCUUCACAAGAAGCACCGGCUAACUACGUGCCAGCAGCCGCGGUAA